UCUCCGUAGGUGAACCUGCGGAAGGAUCAUUAAAAAGAAUAUGCCCUUCGGGGUAGAUCUCCCACCCUUUGCUUAUAUUACCUUUGUUGCUUUGGCAGGCCCGUCUUCGGACCACCGGCUUCGGCUGGUCAGUGCUUGCCAGAGGACCCAAAACUCUUAUUAUUAAUGUCGUCUGAGUACUAUAUAAUAGUUAAAACUUUCAACAACGGAUCUCUUGGUUCUG
rnacentral:misc_RNA from 1 species